UUGCACUGACAAAUGGUAAGAUCGGCAUGUUUCUGAAGUUGUGCUUGAUGUGCAGCCUCUUAACCCUGGUUCUCGAUGAACAGCAUUUUAACUUUUGUGGUCGACAUGCAGGUUUUAUCCUUUUGUAUAGAUCUUCUGUGAAUCGUUUCCAUCAAUGCAUCAGUCAAUCAAUCUUCACCAACACCACACGCCAUCAACAACUCUCUUUUGUUGUUUCUUCUAAUGAAAACAGCUCUCUAUGAGAGUUCUGAUGAGUUCGAGUGAUGAACGAGGACACAGUUUGGUGAGAGCUGGUCUGUUUUGAUGGUUUGAGCACAUCUCAGCUGGUCAGGCAGGAACACCAUCUGGUAGACCACCAGCAAACAACUUUUUAGGGUGACAAGUGUUCUCCAGCAUUGUCUGAAGAUGCCCCGUCGGCCACCGAUGGCCACCUCUGCCACGGUUACCAGAGUAUCUCGGAACUGCUACCAGCGAGAAUUCAGCUAAAUGCCUGCCCAAACCAUUACCCUCCCCAAAGCAGCCAGCAGGACGGG
ensembl:lncRNA